UGGUCUUCCUAGAAGCCUGCCUGAGCCA
rnacentral:piRNA from 1 species